UGCUUUUGUGAAAACAUAUUGCUCAUACAGUAGGUACUUGCUACUUUUGGAUUAUAGGGGCUAAUAAAAUCCCCAUAAUCCAGCCACGACAUUUCAUUGGUUAGGGAUAGACGCGAAAGUGACCACCGAAAGGUACAUUGAGAUAGUUAAGUGAAUUUUGUAUUCCUAAUCCUUAAUGAAUUAAAGAAAGAAAAAAUAAUCAAAUAAAUAUUUCAAUAAAACCAUAAAUAUAGUGAUAGAAAAUUAUUAAUAUAUUUAAGAAGGAUGAAUUUUAUACAGUUGGAUCAUAAUUUUGAAAAAAUUCUUUUAUAAGAAAUAAUAAGUAAUGUGUUAUGGAAAACGUGACGACGAUCAGGGUGGUCCUCUCUCACGAUUCAAGAAACCUCGUUCUGGAACCGAUGUAUACACGGUACACGCGUCGUCAACGGAGCCGUCGACGUCGUGGAUGCUGCCAGAAAGAAAGUUGAUCUGAAAAUCAAACAAACAACCGACGCUGCGUUUCUGCACUUCCGUCGUCACCGUUUGUUUAUUGUCACUGAGGGAUCGCUGUUUUAGAAAAAUGGAUGGACAUUGAUUAAACAAAUUGAAGAAAACAGUUGUCUAAUAAUCACAUCUGUUCCUGGAUUACGAAUACGAUAAAUUUGAACCGGUGAAACUAACGGCUGGAUUAGUGAAUGUUGUCGCGAUGUCAACGAGGAGCUUUCAUCUUCUAUCUUUGACAGAAAAAUACGAAUUGUCCAGAACAUUCAUUCACAAGAAGUCCGGAAGUGAAAAAAUGGCAAGAGCUAAAAAGCAACAAAACUUGUCAAAAUGUUCCUAGACUUAUUGUCUCCACAUUUUUGUUACGGUUACUUAGUAUGCAUGUGCGGAUUCUGUACGCAUUUCAGAAAUACUUCUACUUCAAACACACGUGUUCACCAUCAGACAAGAAAAGAGAAGUGACGAAAUCUGGAUUGAAUUUCUCGAAUUAACAUCUUCGAGGGGGUAUUAGACCCACGUGAAUAACGUGGACCCUGAUGUUGAGAUCAUGAAUUAGAAAAAAAGGGCCUCACGGGUCGUCAUGGCAUGGAUGGGCCUCUGGAUUCCUCAGUGGGGGUUCCUCGGACAUUUCUUUCGUUUCUCUUACCAUUCCCGACGAUCCAUUGUUAUUUCUCCUCCUCACUGUCAAAAAUGAAAUUGGAGAAUACUGGGUCUGGUGAAUUCGUUCAGGAGAUUCUAAGGCACGAUUUAAGAGGUCAAAUCUAAACGAUCCUAGUUCUUGGAAGGAGAGAGCCAUCAGGACACGCGACACUUCCCGACUCAGAGGAAGCGUGUCCUUUUUUAUUUUCUCUUGUGCAUGGAACCCCAUGGUUACGAACCACUGAAAUCAUACUGAUGAUAGAUUCAUCGUUAUUAUUUCAGCAGAUUUUAUAUAUGUUAUCAACUAAUAUAAUUUGUAAAAAAAAAUUAAUUUCUUAGAAUAAAUUUUAUGAUACUAUUAUUGAUAAAUAAAUAUAAAAUGAAUUUAAUAACUUAAA